rnacentral:rRNA from 1 species
GAUGAACGCUGGCGGCGUGCUUAACACAUGCAAGUCGAACGAUGAAGCUCAGCUUGCUGGGUGGAUUAGUGGCGAACGGGUGAGUAACACGUGAGUAACCUGCCCUUAACUCUGGGAUAAGCCUGGGAAACUAGGUCUAAUACCGGAUAGGAGCGCCUACCGCAUGGUGGGUGUUGGAAAGAUUUAUCGGUUUUGGAUGGACUCGCGGCCUAUCAGCUUGUUGGUGAGGUAAUGGCUCACCAAGGCGACGACGGGUAGCCGGCCUGAGAGGGUGACCGGCCACACUGGGACUGAGACACGGCCCAGACUCCUACGGGAGGCAGCAGUGGGGAAUAUUGCACAAUGGGCGAAAGCCUGAUGCAGCGACGCCGCGUGAGGGAUGACGGCCUUCGGAUUGUAAACCUCUUUCAGUAGGGAAGAAGCGAAAGUGACGGUACCUGCAGAAGAAGCACCGGCUAACUACGUG